UGUAGAUAUCAGUAAAUCUGGAUGAAUGGCGUUGCGCCGGCGGUGACAUACAGCAGUGACCUUCACGGAUAGAUUUUGAGCCUGCCUCAAGAGAUCCUAAGGUUCCAAUGGUUUCUACAUCUUAAAGACACAGAUACAAUAGAAUCUCAAGACUUCAGAUGUCUCCACCUAUCACCUCCUUGAUCCGGCUAUCAGAUCGCGCCACUGGGCCGGAACGGACAAGAAACCGCGUGACUACUGGAUGCGCAAAUUAUAAAAUAUCCUGCAACCGAGAGAAAUCCCCAGAACAUCUGUCCUGGAGACGACGACUUAUUCAGAGUCAAUUCACACAAUUCAGUUACUUCUGGGAAAACUGUGUAAAGCAGAGUCACCAUUAAGGGAGGCUCCUGCUCUUAUGGCAACAUGGCGGGGUCAUCUAUGGGGGGAGGAGAUAAAUAUGGAUUUUUCUUAUAUCAGGCCCAUCUGACAUUAAAAAAUAAAAUAAAUCCAGAAACCCCCACCCAUGAUGUAUGUAUGGGGGGGGGGGUCCAAGAGGCGACCUAGAAGAACAUCAAGACAAGACAAGCAGGAGAACAGGGACAAUGUGUAUUGGAUAGACAGCACCUAAAGAGAGCGAGAUGUGAUGUCAUCAUUAUAGUGUAUAUAGAUCAUGUACUGUGUGAUGUCAUCAUUAUAGUGUAUAUAGAUCCUGUACUGUGUGAUGUCAUCAUUAUAGUGUAUAUAGAUCCUGUACUGUG